CCUACGGGAGGCAGCAGUGAGGAAUAUUGGUCAAUGGACGAGAGUCUGAACCAGCCAAGUAGCGUGAAGGAUGACUGCCCUAUGGGUUGUAAACUUCUUUUAUAUGGGAAUAAAAUGUUACACGUGUGGGAUUUUGUAUGUACCAUAUGAAUAAGGAUCGGCUAACUCCGUGCCAGCAGCCGCGGUAAUACGGAGGAUCCGAGCGUUAUCCGGAUUUAUUGGGUUUAAAGGGAGCGUAGGUGGAUUGUUAAGUCAGUUGUGAAAGUUUGCGGCUCAACCGUAAAAUUGCAGUUGAAACUGGCAGUCUUGAGUACAGUAGAGGUGGGUGGAAUUCGUGGUGUAGCGGUGAAAUGCUUAGAUAUCACGAAGAACUCCGAUUGCGAAGGCAGUUCACUGGACUGCAACUGACACUGAGGCUCGAAAGUGUGGGUAUCAAACAGGAUUAGAUACCCCUGUAGUC
rnacentral:rRNA from 1 species